CCCACUUUUUUCUUCAUUACAACAUAUCUCUCUCUAAACAUUACUCUCUUCUCUUUUCUUCUCCUCUCUACCCAACUCCACCAACCCUCGUUUUUUCUUUGAUCUAGCAAAAUCCAUAGAUUUUUUAACCUUCGUUAUUGAGGUCAAAUUGGAAAGCACAUCAAGGGUUUCGUUUUGUAGUGGAGAUCGGAUUUCGUUGAUGUGGAAAUUUGGGGCUUUUCUUCUUUUUCCCUUCUAGGACUUGAGGUUUUCAAGUGCAAAGAAGAAUUGCUCAGUUGGGCAUGGGAUGUUGAAAGCAAAAAUGGUUUUGUGAUUGUCAUCAAGACAUCGGACUAUGGUGGUGGUCAUAGGACACCAAUGAUAUAUCUUGCCUGUGAGAGAAGUGGUCAAUACAGAGCUCAUAAGAAAUUAAAAGGAGAUGGUUCAAACAACAAAAUUGUGAAGAUAAUGGGUACAAAGAAAUGUUGGUGUCCCUUUGAGUUGAAGGCUCGUAAAUUGAUGGCUGAUGAUGAUUGGAUGAUAGAUAUAGCAUGUGGAAUGCAUAACCAUGCUCUUGCUAAACAUUUUGAAGGACAUUCAUUUGUAGAGAGAUUAUCUGAGGAGGAAACAUCAUUAUUAGUGGACAUGUCCAAAAGCAUGGUCAGACCAAAAAAGAUUUUGGUUACCUUGAAA